GUAGGUGGCAAGCGUUAUCCGGAAUUAUUGGGCGUAAAGCGCGCGUAGGCGGUUUUUUAAGUCUGAUGUGAAAGCCCACGGCUCAACCGUGGAGGGUCAUUGGAAACUGGAAAACUUGAGUGCAGAAGAGGAAAGUGGAAUUCCAUGUGUAGCGGUGAAAUGCGCAGAGAUAUGGAGGAACACCAGUGGCGAAGGCGACUUUCUGGUCUGUAACUGACGCUGAUGUGCGAAAGCGUGGGGAUCAAACAGGAUUAGAUACCCUGGUAGUCCACGCCGUAAACGAUGAGUGCUAAGUGUUAGGGGGUUUCCGCCCCUUAGUGCUGCAGCUAACGCAUUAAGCACUCCGCCUGGGGAGUACGACCGCAAGGUUG
rnacentral:rRNA from 1 species